rnacentral:lncRNA from 1 species
GCCUAGGGAGCGGAGCCGGCGAGACAAGGACGAGAUCAGUCGCGCCAGCUUGGCGUGGCAUUGCUGGGGUCGCGAGGGUCGGUUUGAGCCGGCUAUCAGUGACUCUUCAAGGCUGGUCCUUCCAGCGCACAGCUCCAAAGACCGUACCACGAGGAGCCCGGUGUCGUCCUCUUCCUCCCGCCGCGAUAGCGUCCAGUCAUCCCACUGCAGCAGGCGCGAAACCCCAAUUAGCAGAAGUGAAGGGGCGUGGCGGCGGAGACGGCGGCGAGGGGGGAUUUACGGCGCGGCGCAGGUGCCGGCGUAUCUGGCUGUGGGUGGCGGGCGGUGAGGCGCAAGCAUCCAACGCGAGGAAGUCCAGCGUGCGGAGUAGGGAUCCGAGGAGCCCCCUCCCCGUACAUUUCUCCGUCCCCGACCUGCAACGAGGGCCCCCUUUGCUGUCAGCAUUGCAUUGAAGACAAAGAAACACUAGUUCAAGCAGCCACCGAAAAGCCGUCGCCGUCGCCGUCACUGUCAUUAUAGUGUAGCCAAAGAUCCUCGUAUUGAAGUAUAAAAGACAGUGGGGAUUAUGUGACGGAUGAAGCGGUGGAUAUGAUAUGAGCUGUUCGUCACCUGAGAGAGGACACGGUAUUGCCGUCGGCGUAGCUACUCAGCGACCGCC